rnacentral:rRNA from 1 species
UACGUAGGGUGCGAGCGUUAAUCGGAAUUACUGGGCGUAAAGCGUGCGCAGGCGGUUCGUGAUGUCUGGUGUGAGAGCCCCGGGCUUAACCUGGGAAUUGCAUUGGAAACUAGCGGGCUGGAGUGUGGCAGAGGGGGGUGGAAUUCCACGUGUAGCAGUGAAAUGCGUAGAGAUGUGGAGGAACACCGAUGGCGAAGGCAGCCCCCUGGGCUAACACUGACGCUCAUGCACGAAAGCGUGGGGAGCAAACAGG